GCGGAUGGCCGGACGGCCGCGGGCGGGUUACUGCCCGAGGAAAGUCCGGGCUCCACAGGGCACGGUGCCGGGUAACGCCCGGCGGGGGCAACCCCAGGGAAAGCGCCACAGAGAACAGACCGCCCGGAUCCGUCCGGGCAAGGGUGAAACGGUGGGGUAAAGGCCCACCGCGGGACGGGCAACCGGACCGGCACGGCAAGCCCCACCGGGAGCAAUGCCAAAUAGGGGCCUCGCGCCGCUGCCCUUCGGGGUCGGCAGGCACGCCCGAACCCGAGAGGCCCGGGUUGGCAGCACGACCCUUCCGGUAACGGCGGGGCCAGACGAAUGGUCGUCGAACCGGGGCCUGGCACCCCCCGGCGAACAGAACCCGGCUUACAGGCCAUCCGCAGCC
rnacentral:RNase_P_RNA from 1 species